GCCUCUAUGGUGUAGUUGGUUAUCACGCAGGUCUCAUAUACCUAUGACAUUUCUGAUCAAACAGAAUUGAAAUCCUGAGGUCUCCAGUUCGAUCCUGGAUGGGGGCA
rfam:Aspergillus wentii DTO 134E9 unplaced genomic scaffold ASPWEscaffold_2, whole genome shotgun sequence.